rnacentral:rRNA from 1 species
UACGUAGGGUGCGAGCGUUGUCCGGAAUUAUUGGGCGUAAAGGGCUCGUAGGCGGUUUGUCGCGUCGGGAGUGAAAACUCAGGGCUUAACCCUGAGCCUGCUUCCGAUACGGGCAGACUAGAGGUAUGCAGGGGGAGAACGGAAUUCCUGGUGUAGCGGUGAAAUGCGCAGAUAUCAGGAGGAACACCGGUGGCGAAGGCGGUUCUCGUGGGCAAUUGACCUGACGCUGGAGGAGCUGAAAGUGUGGGGAGCGAACAGGA